CAAAGAGCCAAAGAAACUCAGCCUUCUCGUGCAAAUGGUGGAAGUCUGGUAACGCCAGCUACAAUGCUCCACUUAAUCAAUAAUAUCAGCAUCCCAUCAAUGCAGCGUAUCAACCCAGUACUUUGUGGACUUAGUAAAUGCUUGGGGUGUGAGAAAGAAGUUUUUGGACCAUAGUACAUGAUUGCUUCAAAAAGACAGUGUCCAAGCUUUGGGCUCCAAUAACUUCCAGAUAGAUCAGGAAUCUAGAGUUAACAAUGGUGUGGCUCCAGAUUGCUAGGAAAAUGGAGCUGCCACUCAGUGGAGAGCCCCAUGUAAUGUUUAGUUGAUUCGGACAAGUAAAAUACAGCAUUAUAAAUCAGAUUCCCUUUAAACUAGACACCGUGUGUUCAAGAAGCCUAUGCAAAGAAAACCUUAAAUUAAUGAAAAAAUUCAUAGUCAUAUUUUCCCACCAUGAUUAAAGCCUCCUGGGACUGAGAUGUUGUUCCUUCCCUAAAGAGUCUCCUAAUCUUAGCAUAGAAGACUCUGAGAAGUUCAGAUGGUUAAAAUCAUGAGAUAUAAAAGUGAGCUGAAGUUCCACAGGCACCCAGAGGAGGCUGCAGUGAGCUCAGGUCAUCAUGACCUUCGACAGUCCCCGAAGCCAUAGAGGAUCUCAGUGGUUUGGAAGGAGGAAGCCAAACUCCAGACAAGUGGAGGGUUGAGCCCCAGCCUGCUGAUUCAUGCCCCAGCCUGCUCUCCAUUUCACCAAGCUGCCUGUUCACUUGGGGACACAUUUCUCUAACUGUGCCCAGGGGAAAAAAAAAAAAAGGCAGGGUUUAUGUGAGAGAUUCCAUAUUGCUCUUGCCAAAAGAAAAGUAAAAGAAAGAAAGAAAAAAAAAACCAAUUUGGCUGUUUCCAGAGAGUUCCACUGGAGACUAUGUCCUUCGUUGCCAUGGGGGUAAUUUACUCACUCAGCACCGUGGAUCAAAAAGGCAAGCAGGGAUGCUCUGGCACUGUCACUGCAUCAGGUGACCCAGUAGGGUGGGAACAGGAAGGCCUGCUGUGUGGUCUGGUACCUGAGAUCUGAGAUUGUACAGGAACAGGAUGGUAAUUGUGAGCUGCGGAAUGGGGGGAUGCUGCCUCUGGAAGGGUUCACGACAGCUCGCUCUCCCUGGAGACAUGAUGCUGUGCACUCAUUAUUUUAAGAGCCCAGGGGGGGAAAAACAACAAUCAGAUAGACAAACAAAAAAGAUGUGCAACUUCUGAAUAAUCUUAAUUCAAAAAAAAAAAG
rnacentral:lncRNA from 1 species